UACGAAGGGGGCUAGCGUUGUUCGGAAUCACUGGGCGUAAAGCGCACGUAGGCGGAUCUUUUAAGUCAGGGGUGAAAUCCCGAGGCUCAACCUCGGAACUGCCUUUGAUACUGGGGAUCUCGAGUCCGGGAGAGGUGAGUGGAACUGCGAGUGUAGAGGUGAAAUUCGUAGAUAUUCGCAAGAACACCAGUGGCGAAGGCGCUCACUGGCCCGGAACUGACGCUGAGGUGCGAAAGCCAGGGGAGCAAAGCGGG
rnacentral:rRNA from 1 species